rnacentral:rRNA from 1 species
UACGUAGGGACCAAGCGUUGUUCGGAUUUACUGGGCGUAAAGGGCGCGUAGGCGGCUUAACAAGUCACUUGUGAAAUCCCCGGGCUUAACCUGGGAACUGCAUUCGGGACUGCAUUGCUAGAGUAUGGGAGAGGGAAGUGGAAUUUCAGGUGUAGCGGUGAAAUGCGUAGAUAUCUGAAGGAACAUCAGUGGCGAAAGCGACUUCCUGGACCAAUACUGACGCUCAUGUGCGAAAGCGUGGGGAGCAAACAGG